rnacentral:tRNA from 1 species
CGGGGCGUAGCGCAGCCUGGUAGCGUAUUACAGUGGGUGCGUGGGGGUCGCAGGUUCGAAUCCUGUCGCCCAGACCA